CUUACACUCAGGUAUGAGCAGAAUCUCUUCAAAUUAAAUCAAUUUUACAAACGAAGGGCAAAGAAGCCUUGGGCUAAGGAUGGAGACAGAAAUACUAGAUUUUUCCAUCAAGCUGUUUUAAAGAGAAGAAAGAGGAACACUAUUGUUUCCAUUAAGGAUGAAAAUGAUGUUAUCCAUUUUAAGCCAACUCAAGUUGCCAACACUUUUGUGAAUUAUUUCAGCAAUUUGGGCAGGCCUUUUCUUCCAACUCAGCCUCUGAUACAAUCAGAUGAUUUCACCUACUCCAUUCCAGAUAAACAGGAAAUCUUGCAGAUUUUGAAGGAUAUGAAGCUAAAUGCAUCGCCGGGCCCAGAUGGCUUCAAUGUGGAGUUUUACCUUGCUUCUUGGGACUGGAUUGGCGAUGAAGUCAUUGAUUUGGUAAUCAGCUUCUACAAAUCAGGUAUAUUACCUCCUCAUAUUAGUGAUACUAAUAUUACUCUCAUUCCUAAGAAGCUAGCUCCUCAAGUUCCCAUGGAUUUUAGACCU
rnacentral:rRNA from 1 species